rnacentral:rRNA from 1 species
GACGAACGCUGGCGGCGUGCUUAACACAUGCAAGUCGAGCGGUAAGGCCCUUUCGGGGGUACACGAGCGGCGAACGGGUGAGUAACACGUGGGUGACCUGCCCUCAGCUCUGGGAUAAGCCCGGGAAACUGGGUCUAAUACUGGAUAUGACUCCAUGACGCAUGUUGUGGGGUGGAAAGCCUUGUGCGGCUGAGGAUGGGCCCGCGGCCUAUCAGCUUGUUGGUGGGGNGAUGGCCUACCAAGGCGACGACGGGUAGCCGGCCUGAGAGGGCGACGGCCACACUGGGACUGAGACACGGCCCAGACUCCUACGGGAGGCAGCAGUGGGGAAUCUUGCGCAAUGGGCGAAAGCCUGACGCAGCGACGCCGCGUGAGGGAUGACGGCCU